rnacentral:rRNA from 1 species
CCUACGGGUGGCAGCAGUCGAGAAUCAUUCACAAUGGGGGAAACCCUGAUGGUGCGACGCCGCGUGGGGGAAUGAAGGUCUUCGGAUUGUAAACCCCUGUCAUGUGGGAGCAAAUUAAAAAGAUAGUACCACAAGAGGAAGAGACGGCUAACUCUGUGCCAGCAGCCGCGGUAAUACAGAGGUCUCAAGCGUUGUUCGGAAUCACUGGGCGUAAAGCGUGCGUAGGCUGUUUCGUAAGUCGUGUGUGAAAGGCGCGGGCUCAACCCGCGGACGGCACAUGAUACUGCGAGACUAGAGUAAGGGAGGGGGAACCGGAAUUCUCGGUGUAGCAGUGAAAUGCGUAGAUAUCGAGAGGAACACUCGUGGCGAAGGCGGGUUCCUGGACAUUAACUGACGCUGAGGCACGAAGGCCAGGGGGGCGAAAGGGAUUAGAUACCCCAGUAGUC